AUUGAACGCUGGCGGCAGGCCUAACACAUGCAAGUCGAGCGGAUGAAGGGAGCUUGCUCCUGGAUUCAGCGGCGGACGGGUGAGUAAUGCCUAGGAAUCUGCCUGGUAGUGGGGGAUAACGUCCGGAAACGGGCGCUAAUACCGCAUACGUCCUGAGGGAGAAAGUGGGGGAUCUUCGGACCUCACGCUAUCAGAUGAGCCUAGGUCGGAUUAGCUAGUUGGUGGGGUAAAGGCCUACCAAGGCGACGAUCCGUAACUGGUCUGAGAGGAUGAUCAGUCACACUGGAACUGAGACACGGUCCAGACUCCUACGGGAGGCAGCAGUGGGGAAUAUUGGACAAUGGGCGAAAGCCUGAUCCAGCCAUGCCGCGUAUGUGAAGAAGGUCUUCGGAUUGUAAAGCACUUUAAGUUGGGAAGAAGGGCAGUAAGUUAAUACCUUGCUGUUUUGACGUUACCAACAGAAUAAGCACCGGCUAACUUCGUG
rnacentral:rRNA from 1 species